GUGACCUCAAAUCAGGUAGGACUACCCGCUGAACUUAAGCAUAUCAAUAAGCGGAGGAAAAGAAACUAACAAGGAUUCCCCUAGUAACUGCGAGUGAAGCGGGAAAAGCUCAAAUUUAAAAUCUGUCAGUCUUUGGCUGUCCGAGUUGUAAUCUAGAGAAGCGUUAUCCGCGCUGGACCGUGUACAAGUCUCCUGGAAUGGAGCGUCAUAGAGGGUGAGAAUCCCGUCUUUGACACGGACUGCCAGUGCUUUGUGAUGCGCUCUCAAAGAGUCGAGUUGUUUGGGAAUGCAGCUCAAAAUGGGUGGUAAAUUCCAUCUAAAGCUAAAUAUUGGCGAGAGACCGAUAGCGAACAAGUACCGUGAGGGAAAGAUGAAAAGAACUUUGGAAAGAGAGUUAAACAGUACGUGAAAUUGCUGAAAGGGAAACGCUUGAAGUCAGUCGCGUUGUCCAGGGAUCAACCUUGCUUCUGCUUGGUGUACUUUCUGGUUGACGGGUCAGCAUCAAUUUUGACCAUUGGAAAAAGAUUAAGGGAAUGUGGCAUCCUUGGAUGUGUUAUAGCCUUUGGUUGCAUACAAUGGUUGGGAUUGAGGAACUCAGCACGCCGCAAGGCCGGGUUUUAACCACGUACGUGCUUAGGAUGCUGGCAUAAUGGCUUUAAUCGACCCGUCUUGAAACACGGACCAAGGAGUCUAACAUGCCUGCGAGUGUUUGGGUGGAAAACCCGAGCGCGUAAUGAAAGUGAAAGUUGAGAUCCUUGUCAUGGGGAGCAUCGACGCCCGGACCAGACCUUUUGUGACGGUUCCGCGGUAGAGCAUGUAUGUUGGGACCCGAAAGAUGGUGAACUAUGCCUGAAUAGGGUGAAGCCAGAGGAAACUCUGGUGGAGGCUCGUAGCGAUUCUGACGUGCAAAUCGAUCGUCAAAUUUGGGUAUAGGGGCGAAAGACUAAUCGAACCAUCU
rnacentral:rRNA from 1 species